UGGAUAGAGAUUUUUAAAGGAAAUGGCAUCAAAAUGUAAAUGGGUUAUGAUAGCCUCUCUCAAACUCAGAAAUGGAUUGUGAAUAUGUCUGUCAAUGACUGUUAAAAUCUUUUUGUAGCUGCAUAAUAUUCCAUUGUAUGGGUGCAUCAUGAUUUCUUUAGACUGUUCUCUGUUUGGGGCUCCUUGGACUGUUUUCAAAUCCGUGCGUUCGCGGGGCCCCCCACCCCAGGAAGAUUAGCCCUGAGCUAACGUCUGCUGCCAAUCCUCCUUUUUUUGCUGGGGAAGACUGGCCCUGAGCUAACAUUCAUGCCCAUCUUCCUCUACUAUAUAUGUGGGACGCCUGCCACAGCAUGGCUUUUGCCAAGGGGUGCCAUGUCCGCACCCGGGAUCCGAACCAGUGAACCGGAACGUGUACGCUUAACGGCUGCGCCACCCGGCCGGCCCUAUUCCAUGCUAUUUUAAACAGCACUGGAAGAAACAUCGUGUGCCCACAUCUUUGCUCACCUGUCUGAAUAGUUCCUCGGGAUACAUUUCCUGGAGGUGGAAUUCCUGGGCUGGAGGAUACACCCCAGCGUGCACGUUUGAAAGGCGUUUGAAAGAUCUGAUCACGCCGCCCUUCAGAAAGAUCCUCUCAUUUUAUGACUUGCAGCCGCACGGGCAAGAGACGAUUCGGGCCGUCUCCUUGAAAACGCAGCUCCCGGUCUCACCAGCCAGGGUGUCCUUGCCGGCCUGCGUUGUUCUUGGCCGAGAUCCUGGAGGUCGCGCGGGGUGGUGGGGGGAGGGGCCCUUCUUUCUCCUGCGCUGGAGUCAGUCUGGGCCGUGCCGUUUGGGGGGCGUGUGGCCCCGGCAGCAGAAGCCUUCCGUUCUUCCCCGCCCGUGUCUGCAGCAGCAGGUCUGGCUUCCAGUGUCCAUCUCCACCCAUGGUUCCUUCCUUGCGGACCCCCAACUCUGUCACUGAUGCUCAGGCUCGGCUCCCGGCGACUCUGGUGAAUGGAUGCAGGGAGGGCGUCGGGGAGGGGCAUGCAUCAGCAUCUCAAUAAGGUUUCCAGAUGAUUCCAGCAGCUGGAAUGGACAUCUUGGGCUUUUCUGUGGGUCCAGUGAGAUUUUUAGCAUAAACCCCCACCUUGGUCCUUUCUUUUCUUCUGUAUGUCGUCUUACACUGUUUGCUGUAUUCUAGAGCCUGACUUUUUUCUUUUUAUCUUUUCUUUAUUAUAGACCACCAGUGAAAGUAGGCCUUUUGGUGGUCGAGUGAUAAAUGGAAUUUUGGCCUGAGUUCCAACCACGGCGGGCCCAGCAGGUCUGUGGCCUCCCCCUGUGGCUAUGUCCCCAGCUCCUCAGCGCACAGCGGGCACAGACGCUCUUGGCGACAGGCAGACUCUCCGCCUUGGCCAUCCGAGCUGUAGGGGAGAGCCAUGAGGACAGGGAGGGCUGCGUGGGGGUGUCUGGAGCGUCCCCUCCCUCUGAAAUAGAAAAUCAGAGCAAUGCCGGAUCCCUGGGCAGCUUUCCAAGGUCAAAGACUUAAGGGUUGCAGGGGAGGUGACUCCCAGCACAGCCCCGUUUAGCUCGGCCGUCUGUCCGUGCAGAGGUGGAAGGACCUUGGAGAAUGAC
rnacentral:lncRNA from 1 species